rnacentral:lncRNA from 1 species
AGAACACCAGGGUCUGAACAGAGAAGCUUCAGAAUACUUUCUCCGACUAGAGAACUUUUUUAUGGUGGGAGGAAAAAAUGUUGCCAGUCCCACUUCACAGACACCUGGAAUUCAUGAAGUCUGAGGACUUCUUUCAUUUUACUUUCAACUAAAAGCUCUAGCACGAAACAGCAAAGGCUCACAGAACUAAAGAUCAGGAGGUGGCCCUGUGAGAGGGUGUUCAGCCUGGAUCCCUGGUGAAACUCCAUCAUUGAGCAGCAUAUCUACUUCAGAAAGCGUGGAAAGAAAAGAGCCUGGUGGGAAAAGUCUAUCAAGUGAUAGUGACGUGCCCUUAU